UUGGCCUUGACAUACUAAGAACUUUCCAGAGAUGGAUUGGUGCCUUCGGGAACUUAGAUACAGGUGCUGCAUGGCUGUCGUCAGCUCGUGUCGUGAGAUGUUGGGUUAAGUCCGCAACGAGCGCAACCCUUUUCCUUAUUUGCCAGCGGGUAAUGCCGGGAACUUUAAGGAUACUGCCAGUGACAAACUGGAGGAAGGCGGGGACGACGUCAAGUCAUCAUGGCCCUUACGGCCAGGGCUACACACGUGCUACAAAUGGUCGGUACAAAGGGUUGCUACCUCGCGAGAGGAUGCUAAUCUCAAAAAGCCGAUCGUAGUCCGGAUCGCAGUCUGCAACUCGACUGCGUGAAGUCGGAAUCGCUAGUAAUCGCGGAUCAGAAUGCCGCGGUGAAUACGUUCCCGGGCCUUGUACACACCGCCCGUCACACCAUGGGAGUUUGUUGCACCAGAAGUAGGUAGUCUAACCGCAAGGAGGACGCUUACCACGGUGUGGCCGAUGACUGGGGUGAAGUCGUAACAAGGUAAGCGUAGAUGA
rnacentral:rRNA from 1 species